rnacentral:tRNA from 1 species
GUACAGCGGAGUGGAUAACGCGAUGGCAUUUAAAGCGAAAGGUACUGGGUUCGAGUUCCAGAGUGAAC